UCGUGUCUGGGAAGCUAAUCCGACAGUUAGGAAACCACCUCACGCGGAUUGCGAUCCAACGAUCUCCAUGUGUAAUGACUGUGCAACUAGAUUUCUGAUUUUGAUAUCAUCUCAUAUAAUGUAUACUAUUAGAUGAUACAUCAAAACACCCAAAUCAAGAUAGUUCGUAAAGUUUCAGGAGCAUAGUCGUGCAAAGUCGAGCUCAUGACAUGUUCUUUUUUUCCUUUUAGACAAUUCCAAACUUUUUCCUCAAUCCUAGUAGUUUAAAGGUUUUAUGAUUAAAUAUAAAUAUAUCUACUUCACUAUGUAAUACCACACCAUAUUAGAUAAUUAAAUAUUUAUCACAAUAAAGUUUGUAUAUGAUCAUUUAUCUAAGUUGGAUAACUUAUU
rnacentral:lncRNA from 1 species